UGCCAACUCGAAGAGAGUGUAUAUGAUAAAUCAUUAUUCUUGCUGAACUUUAUGUAAAUAAUCUGGCCAGAAACUAAACUUAUUUUGCAAAUAUCCUAGUCUUCUCAUAAAUAUCUUUGGUAAAAACAGGCAACUUGCAGAGAAGACAGUUACAUUUCAAAAGAAAACUAUAGUGCAUCUGUUACUAGAUUCUAGUACUGUCUUUUAAUCUAUUGGUAAAGUUUGUAUCCUCUAGGCUCCAGCAGCUGCCCAUCAAGAUGAUGGUGCCACGAGGAUUCCAACCUGUCUCCUCCCAUGAGGAACUGAGUCCCUAUAAAUCACUUGAUCAGUCAGCGAGAGAUCUUUACACCUCCGGCAGGCAGCUAGCUGACUCCUGCAUGUGCACAAAGCUUCAAGGUGACUGCUACAAUGGCCCUCCUGGGGUGAUGACAAUGAGCAACACCAAAAUCUUGGACCUACUGAGCAGGCGCAAGGAGCAAAGCCUUAACUGAGCAUGCAUCCAUGACACAGCUAGGAAGAGCAGAAUGGACCACCUCCAGAGGGCAGAAUGAUGCUACUGGCCUGCACUUCCUGCCCCCUCGCCCCCUUGCCCUAUAAAGGAUCCUGAACAGCUCCCCUGAGGGAGCUAGCUUCCCUAUUGCUACCUCCCUUAUGUGCAAGUCUGUCUUGUCUUUCAAUAAAGUAUAGCUUGCCUUAC